AUCUACAGCUGUACUACCCUGAACAUGCCCAAUCUCAUCUGAUCUCAAAAGCUAAGCAGAAUCAGGCCUGGUUAGUACUUGGAUGGGAGACCACCUGGGAAUACCGGGUGCCAUAGGAA